rnacentral:rRNA from 1 species
GAUGAACGCUGGCGGCGUGCCUAAUACAUGCAAGUCGAGCGAACAGACGAGGAGCUUGCUCCUCUGACGUUAGCGGCGGACGGGUGAGUAACACGUGGAUAACCUACCUAUAAGACUGGGAUAACUUCGGGAAACCGGAGCUAAUACCGGAUAAUAUAUUGAACCGCAUGGUUCAAUAGUGAAAGACGGUUUUGCUGUCACUUAUAGAUGGAUCCGCGCCGCAUUAGCUAGUUGGUAAGGUAACGGCUUACCAAGGCGACGAUGCGUAGCCGACCUGAGAGGGUGAUCGGCCACACUGGAACUGAGACACGGUCCAGACUCCUACGGGAGGCAGCAGUAGGGAAUCUUCCGCAAUGGGCGAAAGCCGGACACAGCAACGCCGCGUGAGUGAUGAAGGUCUUCGGAUCGUAAAGCUCUGUUAUUAGGGAAGAACAAAUGUGUAAGUAACUAUGCACGUCUUGACGGUACCUAAACAGAAAGCCACGGCUAACUACGUG